rnacentral:misc_RNA from 1 species
GGAAGGAUCAUUAUUGAAUAAAUGAUGAUAGGCUGUUGCUGGCUCUCAACCAGGGGAGCAUGUGCACGCUUGUCACCUUUAUGUUUCCACCUGUGCACUCUUUGUAGAUCCCUAUAGAAGGACUUGCUGUGUUUUACAAAAAGAGAACCAGCUUGCCCUGUGUAUCUUUAGGACCUAUGCUAGUUAAAAUACUCCUAUAAAUGCAUUGGAAUGUUGGUUGUGGGUCAAUUUUUAGUACCUAUAAAAGUUUUAUACAACUUUCAGCAACGGAUCUCUUGGCUCUCGCAUCGAUGAAGAACGCAGCGAAAUGCGAUAAGUAAUGUGAAUUGCAGAAUUCAGUGAAUCAUCGAAUCUUUGAACGCAUCUUGCGCUCUUUGGUAUUCCGAGGAGCAUGCCUGUUUGAGUGUCAUUAAAUUCUCAACUACACUGAGUUUGUUUUGGUGUAGCUUGGAUUUGGGGGUAAUAUAUUUUGCAGGCUUUGUAAAUAAAGUCAGCUCUCCUGAAAUUUAUUAGUGGGAUAGCUCAGUAAGAACAUCUAUAGGUGUGAUAAUUCUUAUGCCUUAGUUGUCUACAUGCUUUAUUCUACUUCUAACCUCUUUCUAUGAGAAAGGUGUCAUCUUUUUGAUGACAAGCUUGACCUCAAAUCAGGUAGGAUUACCCGCUGAACUUAAGCAUAUCAGUAAGCGGAGGAAAAGAAACUAACAAGGAUUCCCCUAGUAACUGCGAGUGAAGCGGGAAAAGCUCAAAUUUAAAAUCUGGUGGCCAUUGGCUAUCCGAGUUGUAAUCUAGAGAAGUGUUACCCGUGCUGAACCGUGUACAAGUCUCCUGGAAUGGAGUAUCAUAGAGGGUGAGAAUCCCGUCUUUGACAUGGCUUAACAGUACAUUGUGGUAUGCUCUCAAAGAGUCGAGUUGUUUGGGAAUGCAGCUCAAAAUGGGUGGUAAAUGCCAUCUAAAGCUAAAUAUUGGCGAGAGACCGAUAGUGAACAAGUACCGUGAGGGAAAGAUGAAAAGAACUUUGGAAAGAGAGUUAAACAGUACGUGAAAUUGCUGAAAGGGAAACGCUUGAAGUCAGUCGUGUUGACUUGGAAUCAACUCUGCUUUUGCUGGGUGUACUUCCUUGUUAAUGGGUCAGCAUCAAUUUUGACCGUUGGAUAAAGUUAUUGGGAAUGUAGCAUCUUCGGAUGUGUUAUAGUCCAAUGAUGCAUACAACAGUUGAGAUUGAGGAAUUCAGCACGCCGCAAGGCCGGGUUUCGACCACGUUCGUGCUUUGGAUGCUGGCAUAAUGGCUUUAAUCGACCCGUCUUGAAACACGGACCAAGGAGUCUAACAUGCCUGCAAGUGUUUGGGUGGCAAACCCAUGCGCGUAAUGAAAGUGAAAGUUGAGAUCCCUUUGGGGAGCAUUGACGCCCAGACCAGACCUUUUGUGACGGAUCUGCGGUAGAGCAUGCAUGUUGGGACCCGAAAGAUGGUGAACUAUGCCUGAAUAGGGUGAAGCCAGAGGAAACUCUGGUGGAGGCUCGUAGCGAUUCUGACGUGCAAAUCGAUCGUCAAAUUUGGGUAUAGGGGCGAAAGACUAAUCGAACCAUCUAGUAGCUGGUUCCUGC